CCCUUAGAUGUUCUGGGCCGCACGCGCGCUACACUGACGAAUGCAACGAGCUUAUAAUAACCUUGGCCGAAAGGUCUGGGUAAUCUCCAAAUUUCGUCGUGAUGGGGAUAGAUUAUUGCAAUUAUUAAUCUUCAACGAGGAAUGCCUAGUAAGCGCAAGUCAUCAGCUUGCGUUGAUUACGUCCCUGCCCUUUGUACACACCGCCCGUCGCUCCUACCGAUUGAAUGGUCCGGUGAAGCGUUCGGACCGUGGCCUUUGGACGGUUCGCCGUCUGUUGGCUGCAGGAAGUUCGUUAAACCUUAUCAUUUAGAGGAAGGAGAAGUCGUAACA
rnacentral:rRNA from 1 species